rnacentral:rRNA from 1 species
GACGAACGCUGGCCGCGUGCUUAACACAUGCAAGUCGAACGGUGAAGCGCCUUCCUUUUUGGUGGGUGUGGAUGAGUGGCGAACGGGUGAGUAACACGUGAGUAACCUGCCCCCUUCUUCUGGAUAACCGCAUGAAAGUGUGGCUAAUACGGGAUAUUCUGGGUCUGUCGCAUGAUGGGUCUGGGAAAGAUAUUGUUUCGGUGGGGGAUGGGCUCGCGGCCUAUCAGCUUGUUGGUGGGGUGAUGGCCUACCAAGGCGGUGACGGGUAGCCGGCCUGAGAGGGUGGACGGUCACACUGGGACUGAGACACGGCCCAGACUCCUACGGGAGGCAGCAGUGGGGAAUAGUGCACAAUGGGCGCAAGCCUGAUGCAGCGACGCCGCGUGAGGGAUGGAGGCCUGCGGGUUGUGAACCUCUUUCGCCAGUGAAGCAGGCCUGCCUCGUUUGUGGGUGGGUUGACGGUAGCUGGAUAAGAAGCGCCGGCUAACUACGUG